AAACAUAAGAGUUUGAUCCUGGCUCAGAUUGAACGCUGGCGGCAUGCUUUACACAUGCAAGUCGGACGGCAGCACAGAGAAGCUUGCUUCUUGGGUGGCGAGUGGCGAACGGGUGAGUAACAUAUCGGAACGUACCGAGCAGUGGGG
rnacentral:ncRNA from 1 species